AAUGCUUCUCGGCCUUUUGGCUAAGAUCAAGUGUAGUUUCUGUUCUUAUCAGUUUAAUACCAUGUCUUCUUUAUCCAUUCAUCAGUCAAUGGACAUUUGCACUCUUUCCAUAAUUUGGUUAUUGUUGAUUGCACUGCUAUAAACAUUUAGGGACAUGUGUCCCUAUGAAUCAGCACUUCUGUAUCCUUUGGAUAAAUUCCUA
rnacentral:snRNA from 1 species